rnacentral:sRNA from 1 species
UCGUUUCCUACGAGUUUAUUCAACAUGAGAUCGAUUAAGUCGAUUCAAUUACUUCUCGGCCUGUUUGCAAUCUGUACGGCAACAGAGCUUAAUCCGGAUGGGUUGCGCCGAUUGGAGCAAAAUAAUUGUGGCAUCUUUAAGGAAAGCCAUAUUAUAGGAGGAGAGGAAGUUUUCACUGGAUCGAGGCCCUGGAUUAGGACAAAGCUCCCUUAUUACGGAUCAAUUCGUUCCAACUGUUGCGCAUUGUGUUAAAGGCGCUGAGAUACCUAACAACGGAUGUAGACUGCAACAAUUCCACAACGAAGACAACAUGUUUGUCAAAUAUUGAGAGCUUUGGCAUCGAGAGCGUCAUAAUUCAUGAAAACUUUGAAACACCAACAUCAUUUUCCAAUGAUAUCGCUCUGAUAAAACUCAAAAGCAAGGUUGACUUCAAAGAACACAACAGUCCCAUCUGUUUGCCAGUGAAUGCAGCAUUAGAAAAAGAAGCGACAUCCCGGGAAACACUCCUCCACACGGGCUGGGGUUAUAACAACUGGGGCUUAAGCAAUGUUAAGCUGCAUGAGAUGAUUGUCAACAAUAAUGUCGCAAAUCAAACAUGUGGACCGCUUAUUCCUGUUAAGAGCGAGAACCACAUUUGUUUCUCGGCAAGCAGUGAGACUCUUUGCAGAGGCACAUCUGGCAAUCCAUUAAGUGGUCUAGUUGAUUAUUCUGGAAUGAAACGCUUCGUCCAAUUUGCGAUUGUUUCUUUUGGCUAUCGAAACUGUAAUCCAAGUGUGGGCAUUAAUGUUGCCCGGUUUAUGCCAUGGAUAACCAAUGUGCUGGCUGAGGAAUCGUAGCUUAAAUGAAAAAUUUUAACGAUUUUCUGUACAGUAAAGCGAUUCCAUAAAGAAAUAUAUCCCACAAACUGUUCUGAUGUA